GAUGAACGCUAGCGGCAGGCUUAAUACAUGCAAGUCGAGGGGCAGCAGGUCUGUAGCAAUACAGAUGCUGGCGACCGGCGAACGGGUGCGGAACACGUACUGAACCUUCCUUUAAGUGGGGAAUAGCCCAGGGAAACUUGGAUUAAUACCCCGUAAUAUAAUGAGUUGGCAUCACCUUAUUAUUAUAGCUCCGGCGCUUGAAGAUGGCAGUGCGGCUGAUUAGGUAGUUGGCGGGGUAACGGCCCACCAAGCCUGCGAUCAGUAACUGGUGGGAGAGCGCGACCAGUCACACGGGCAGUGAGACACGGGCCCGACUCCUACGGGAGGCAGCAGUAAGGAAUAUUGGGCAAUGGACGCAAGUCUGACCCAGCCAUGCCGCGUGGAGGAUGAAGGUCCUCUGGAUUGUAAACUUCUUUUAUAUGGGACGAAAAAGGGUCUUUCUAGAUCAACUGACGGUACCAUAUGAAUAAGCACCGGCUAACUCCGUGCCAGCAGCCGCGGUAAAAC
rnacentral:rRNA from 1 species